rnacentral:rRNA from 1 species
UACGUAGGGUGCAAGCAUUAAUCGGAAUAAUUGGGCGUAAAGGACGCGUAGGCUGUUUGAAAAGUCUGAUGUGAAAUUACGGGGCUUACCCUCGUAACGGCAUUGGAAACUCUCAAACUCGAGGACGGAAGGGGAAAGCGGAAUUCCAUGUGUAGCGGUGAAAUGCGUAGAUAUAUGGAAGAACACCGGUGGCGAAAGCGGCUUCUGGUACGUACCUGACGCUGAGGCGUGGAGAGCAAGGGGAGGCAAACAGG